rnacentral:rRNA from 1 species
UCGGAUUGCAGUCUGCAACUCGAGUGCAUGAAGCUGGAAUCGCUAGUAAUCGCGGAUCAGAAUGCCGCGGUGAAUACGUUCCCGGGCCUUGUACACACCGCCCGUCACACCAUGGGAGUCGGGAAUGCCCGAAGCCGGUGGCCCAAUCGAAAGAAGGGAGCCGUCGAAGGCAGGCCGGAUGACUGGGGUGAAGUCGUAACAAGGUACC